rnacentral:rRNA from 1 species
AGGACGAACGCUGGCGGCGUGCUUAACACAUGCAAGUCGAACGGAAAGGCCCUUCGGGGUACUCGAGUGGCGAACGGGUGAGUAACACGUGGGUGAUCUGCCCUGCACUUCGGGAUAAGCCUGGGAAACUGGGUCUAAUACCGGAUAUGACUACGAAUCGCAUGGUUUGUGGUGGAAAGCUUUUGCGGUGUGGGAUGGGCCCGCGGCCUAUCAGCUUGUUGGUGGGGUUAAGGCCUACCAAGGCGACGACGGGUAGCCGGCCUGAGAGGGUGUCCGGCCACACUGGGACUGAGAUACGGCCCAGACUCCUACGGGAGGCAGCAGUGGGGAAUAUUGCACAAUGGGCGCAAGCCUGAUGCAGCGACGCCGCGUGAGGGACGACGGGCCUUCGGGUUGUAAACCUCUUUCAAUGGGGACGAAGUGCAAGUGACGGUACCAUAGAAGAAGGACCGGCCAACUACGCGCCAGCAGCCGC